AGUGUCGUAGGAAAUAAUACCGACCGGAAAGGGGUACUAAGUACCGGAUAUUCUGUCUUUCAUAAGUUAUGCAAGCAAAGGUGGCCUCUGCAUAUGCUACUGCAUGAAGAGGGGUCUGCGUACCAUUAGCUAGUAGGUGGGGUAAUGGCCUACCUAGGCGACGAUGGUUAGCGGGUCUGAGAGGAUGAUCCGCCACACUGGCACUGGAACACGGGCCAGACUCCUACGGGAGGCAGCAGUGAGGAAUAUUGCGCAAUGGGGGAAACCCUGACGCAGCGACGCCGCGUGAGUGAGGAAGGCCUUCGGGUCGUAAAGCUCUGUCAAGAGGAAAGAAGUGUACAAUGGCUAAUACCUGUUGUAUUUGACGGUACCUCUAAAGGAAGCACCGGCUAACUCCGUGCCAGCCGCCGC
rnacentral:rRNA from 1 species